rnacentral:rRNA from 1 species
GACGAACGCUGGCGGCGUGCUUAACACAUGCAAGUCGAACGGAAAGGCCCUGCUUUUGUGGGGUGCUCGAGUGGCGAACGGGUGAGUAACACGUGAGUAACCUGCCCUUGACUUUGGGAUAACUUCAGGAAACUGGGGCUAAUACCGGAUAGGAGCUCCUGCUGCAUGGUGGGGGUUGGAAAGUUUCGGCGGUUGGGGAUGGACUCGCGGCUUAUCAGCUUGUUGGUGGGGUAGUGGCUUACCAAGGCUUUGACGGGUAGCCGGCCUGAGAGGGUGACCGGCCACAUUGGGACUGAGAUAGGGCCCAGACUCCUACGGGAGGCAGCAGUGGGGAAUAUGGCACAAUGGGCGGAAGCCUGAUGCAGCAACGCCGCGUGCGGGAUGACGGCCUUCGGGUUGUAAACCGCUUUCGCCUGUGACGAAGCGUGAGUGACGGUAAUGGGUAAAGAAGCACCGGCUAACUACGUG